UAAGUGGAUUAUGUACUGGCAAUCCCUCCUUUUUUCCCACUGUCUUUCUGCCCAAUCGUGCCGUUCCUGUCACGCCAUCCGAUGCUUAAGCUAGAUCGUAGAUAAUGACGUUGUCAAUUAACAUCUAACGGUUCACGAUCCACUUAAACAACGCCCAAGCGAGUAGAAGGAAGAUUCCAUAUGAAGUUUACAUUCAAUUCUUGAUAUGCACCUUCUGAUGCGUAUUCCAGAUUACGGACCUUGGCAUCGACAUAGAGCCUGCCUCCGUGCAAUAUGACAAUCUACCAUUAGUAACAUCUCUUGUCAGUUUAACCCAAUACAGUCAAUAAAUGUCUACCUUUCUUGACAUCUGCUCAAAAAGUGGUCCAAUAUUCAGGUACAACAACAUUGGAACUCAAUGUAAGUAAAAA